rnacentral:rRNA from 1 species
GAACGCGAAGAACCUUACCUGGUCUUGACAUGUACGGAAUCCUCCAGAGACGGAGGAGUGCCUUCGGGAGCCGUAACACAGGUGCUGCACGGCUGUCGUCAGCUCGUGUCGUGAGAUGUUGGGUUAAGUCCCGCAACGAGCGCAACCCUUGUCAUUAGUUGCCAUCAUUCGGUUGGGCACUCUAAUGAGACUGCCGGUGACAAGCCGGAGGAAGGUGGGGAUGACGUCAAGUCCUCAUGGCCCUUAUGACCAGGGCUCCACACGUCAUACAAUGGUCGGUACAGAGGGUAGCCAAGCCGCGAGGCGGAGCCAAUCUCACAAAACCGAUCGUAGUCCGGAUUGCACUCUGCAACUCGAGUGCAUGAAGUCGGAAUCGCUAGUAAUCGCAGGUCAGCAUACUGCGGUGAAUACGUUCCCGGGUCUUGUACACACC